rnacentral:misc_RNA from 1 species
AAGUCGUAACAAGGUUUCCGUAGGUGAACCUGCGGAAGGAUCAUUACCGAGUAAGGGGUCUUAUAGGCCCCGACCCUCCCCACCCUUUUGUCUCGAACAAAUCUUGUUGCUUUGGCGGGCCGUCGGCCCUCACGGGUUGGCUCCGGGUCCCCGACCGGGUAAGCGCCCGCCAGAGACCACUAAACUCUUCGUUUAACAAUUCGUCUGAGUAAUGAUUUAAUCAAUCAAAA